UGCCAGUAGUCAUAUGCUUGUCUUAAAGAUUAAGCCAUGCAUGUCUCAGUGCAAGCUAAAUUAAAGUGAAACCGCGGAAGGCUCAUUAUAUCAGCUAUGGUUCCUUAGAUGGUACCAAAGUAUACUUGGAUAACUGUGGCAAUUCUAGAGCUAAUACAUGCAAAUAGAGUCCCUGCCUCCCAAGGCAGGGAUGCUUUUAUUAGAUCAAAACCAACCGGCCUUCGGGCUAGUUGCUCUUGGUGACUCUGACUAACUUUGGGCUGAUCGCACGGUCACGUACCGGCGACGCAUCUUUCAAAUGUCUGCCUUAUCAACUAUCGAUGGUAGGCUCUACGCCUACCAUGGUUGUAACGGGUGACGGGGAAUCAGGGUUCGAUUCCGGAGAGGGAGCCUGAGAGACAGCUACCACAUCCAAGGAAGGCAGCAGGCGCGCAAAUUACCCACUCCCGGCACGGGGAGGUAGUGACGAUAAAUAACGAUGCAGAACUCUUUCCGAGGCUCUGCAAUCGGAAUGAGCACACUCUAAAUCAUUUAACGAGUAUCCAUCGGAGGGCAAGCCUGGUGCCAGCAGCUGCGGUAAUUCCAGCUCCGAUAGCGUAUAUUAAAGUUGUUGCGGUUAAAAAGCUCGUAGUUGGAUCUGUGUUUCACUCUGUCGGUUCGUUGCCCGUCAACGUUUAACUGGCAUGCAAGUGGAACGUCCUGCCGGUUGGCAACGCGCGUCCGCAAGGGCGUGCGUGCGCCAGUUGGAUCCUGUCUAGGUCCUCUUCACCGAGAGUCGAGGCAGGCCGGCACGUUUACUUUGAACAAAUUUGAGUGCUUAAAGCAGGCUGUUACGCCUGAAAACUGGUUGCAUGGAAUAAUGGAAUAGGACCUCGGUUCUACUUUGUUGGUUUUCGGAGCCCGAGGUAAUGAUUAAUAGGGACAGGCGGGGGCAUUAGUAUUGCGACGUUAGAGGUGAAAUUCUAAGAUCGUCGCAGGACUAACCUAAGCGAAAGCAUUUGCCAAGGAUGCUUCCUUUAAUCAAGAACGAAAGUUAGAUGAUCGAAGGCGAUCAGAUACCGCCCUAGUUCUAACCAUAAACGAUGCCAGCCAGCAAUCCGUCGCUGUUCCUCCGAUGACUCGACGGGCAGCUUCCGGGAAACUUAAGCUUUUAGGUUCCGGGGGAAGUAUGGUUGCAAAGCUGAAACUUAAAGGAAUUGACGGAAGGGCACCACCAGGAGUGGAGCCUGCGGCUUAAUUUGACUCAACACGGG
rnacentral:rRNA from 1 species